rnacentral:rRNA from 1 species
UACAGAGGGUGCGAGCGUUGUCCGGAAUCACUGGGCGUAAAGGGUGCGUAGGCGGGUCUUUAAGUCAGGGGUGAAAUCCUGGAGCUCAACUCCAGAACUGCCUUUGAUACUGAAGAUCUUGAGUUCGGGAGAGGUGAGUGGAACUGCGAGUGUAGAGGUGAAAUUCGUAGAUAUUCGCAAGAACACCAGUGGCGAAGGCGGCUCACUGGCUCGAUACUGACGCUGAGGUGCGAAAGCGUGGGGAGCAAACAGG